GUGGCAAAGAUUCAACAAAAUCAUUCUGGUUUUCAGCAGGGCUGUCAACAACCACCUCAUUUUUUCUCAUCAAUCUUAAAAAUCACAUAACGUCGAUACCCCUUCUUCCUCUUAAGCUCCAAGAAUCUCAUCUCCAACUCCCACACCAGAAGAUACAUUUUGCUGACCAACUUUAUCAAAUACAAUCAUGAUGCUUUCCUAAAUUCUUAAAUUCAAGUGAUUUUAAAUGGAUAAAAAAAAACACUAGAACCAAGAUUUCACAACAAUGAAUUCCAUUGCCAUCAACAUUUCCUCACAGCUUGAUAUCCCAUCAUCUAAUCCAAAUCAAGAAACAUACAAGAUAACAAGAAUCCACCAUUGGAUUAAGGAAAAAAAAUAAAAAAUUCACAGAGAUCAUCAAAAUAAUCCAGUCCAAUAUUAAACUACAACUGAAAAAGAAAAUUUAUGAUAAACCAAAUUAUAUACAAGUACUAGCUACUUCUUAGUGUGAUCAUUUGAAUUAUACACUUUUUAUGUGUGUAACAUAGAUUAAACCAUCACGUAUGUGCAUAUCAAAGAACUAGUUCAAUCAUCACUUUCAAAAAAUGAAUGAUCACAUAUAGUUACAAAAUUACAUAUACCAAUGAAAAAAAAGUGAUGGAUUCAUACCCAUCUGAUUCUGAAUGACAUGGAUGAAACGUUGGAGAAAUGGAAGAGGGCUUGGCAAGAAAAAGAAAUGGUUCUUUUAAAAAAAAAAAUCUUUGUGUUUGUUUGAGAAAUGAUGGUAAUAUGGAG
rnacentral:lncRNA from 1 species